UGAGGAAUAUUGGGCAAUGCCCGCAAGGGUGACCCAGCAACGCCGCGUGGAGGAUGAAUGUCGUAAGAUUGUAAACUCCUGUUAGAGGGGAAGAAUAGUACCGGUUGGACCGGUAUAUGACUGUACCCUCAGAGAAAGCCCCGGCUGACUACGUGCCAGCAGCCGUGGUAAUACGUAGGGGGCAAGCGUUGUCCGGAUUUACGGGGUGUAAAGGGCGCGCAGGCGGGAUAAAAAGUCAGUGGUGAAAUCCUACAGCUUAACUGUAGAACUGCCUUUGAUACUUUUAUUCGUGAGUUCGGGAGGGAGAGACGGAAUUCCAGGUGGAGUGGUGAAAUACGUAGAUAUCUGGAAGAACACCAGUUGCGAAGGCGGUCUCUUGGUCCGACACUGACGCUGAGGCGCGAAAGCGUGGGGAGCAAACA
rnacentral:rRNA from 1 species